UUUAUUUUGAUGAAUAUCCUAACUCAGGAUUCCCUCUUCUGAGUAGAACCCUAAACAACCAUGCUGUUCACUUUUCCCUGUCUGAACAUA
rnacentral:snoRNA from 1 species